rnacentral:rRNA from 1 species
UACGUAGGGUGCAAGCGUUAAUCGGAAUUACUGGGCGUAAAGCGUGCGCAGGCGGUUUUGUAAGUCUGUCGUGAAAUCCCCGGGCUUAACCUGGGAAUGGCGAUGGAGACUGCAAGGCUAGGGUUUGGCAGAGGGGGGUAGAAUUCCACGUGUAGCAGUGAAAUGCGUAGAGAUGUGGAGGAACACCGAUGGCGAAGGCAGCCCCCUGGGUCAAAACUGACGCUCAUGCACGAAAGCGUGGGGAGCAAACAGG